AACCUAGCACACCUGCGGUGUGUACCUGCGGAGGGAUCAUUAAAAAGAGUGUGUACCCCUCUGUAAAAUGAGUGGGUUACCUCCCGUCCUUUGUUGACCUCUUAGGAGGUUAUUUUGAACUUUCUGCUUCGGUGGGGUUAAACCUACCGGAACACCCUCAAAUUCUUAUCAUUUAAAAAUUGUUCAGUCUGAUUUUUGUUAAUAAAAACAAAAAACUUUCAGCAAUGGAUCUCAGAUCGG
rnacentral:misc_RNA from 1 species